AGUUUAACUUUUUUUGUGGCAAAAAUGAGGAUUUUGUUACAAAUAUAAAAAUGUUUGAAGUAGAAGAACAAAGCCCGCUUUGGAGAGGUAGUGGUCCAAAACUACUAUGUAAUACAGGUUUUACCAAGUAGUACUAAAGUAAAUAAUAUGACGUUUUUGCGUCCUCCUCUGUCUGUGUAAAAAGCUUUUGAAAAGUAUUUUUUGUAUAGAAACGCGAAUGAGGUCAAAAUGAGCUGUUUACUCUCAGCUUCUUCAAAAGCAGGUCAGAUAUUGUCAAACAUGCCAUAAAUAGUUAACUGUUAACAUUGUUUUUAACUCUUCCCUAUAGUCAGACAUUUUUUUAAGUUUUACUGCCCAAAAAUUAAACUUCUUUUUCCCCCCGAACUAAGACAUUAGUUAUUGAUUUAAGUUCGAUUUUCUUUGGAUAAGCUAUAAACACUUGUGAAAACAUGGUUGACGUUCAAGACGCCUGCAUUCCUGCAUGCGAGGGACGCGCGCAGCGGCUAGAGGUUCAGUUCGGAGCCGCAUUUCCUGUCCGGGUCUGCAGCGCAGCCGUGGGACCCCGCGCGCAGGAAUGCGGCUGUCUGCCCGCGCGCCCGCACAGACUUGCGUCGUGAAGUUGAGCUCCGGUUUGUGUCAGAAAGCGUCUGACCCCUGAAAAGAUCCAGUCUGGCUCCGUCGGUCAGCUGCGCCUUGGCUUUACGCAGCUCUUUUGCGCGUAAACAUCCAGGUGCGCGUUCAGCCGAGCAGAAGGUGGCAGGUGGCCACGCCCUCCCUCACCUCUGCAGUUCUGAGGUGAUGGAAUCGGCAACAGUGAUGAAGCUGCAGGAGGGAAACCAGCAGCUGCUCUCAACUGUGGAACGAGGAAGAACCGCUAAAGUCAUUCCUGCACAGGAAGUCCACGCAGAUGCUGAGAUUUUCACAAUAAAAGAGCCACAUGUGGAGGGUGCAACAUUCAUCUGUGCCCACACAAAAAACACCAACAACUGCUUUACUGCAUUUCACAGUUAGACUGAAGCGAAGCACACUUUCUGCCUUCACAGAGACAAAAACACAGAGCUUUGUGUUUUUAGUGCAUUAUUUAUUAGUUCUGUCUGUCAUUGGAGUGAAAAUACUAGAAAUCACUGUUGCAUGAAUCAAAAUCUCUUCAUCCUGGAGAUGGAAGCAGGUGUUUUUUAAUCAUAAGGUAAAUGCUGCCUUAACCUCAAAUUACAUCUAUUUUAUAUGCUCUUGUCAAAUCAACUAACUUAACUUUAAUAGAAAAACGUUUAUAUUUCAUAAUUGGAGAUAAAUUCAGGUGUUAAGUGGUUCAGAAAUCCUCAUUACAAGCUUCUUUAAGCAUUAGAGACGGCACAAGAACUGCUGUUUUCUCAUUAAUCACAAUAAUAAAACGGUUUGAAAUGUG